AUUGCAGUUGGCCCAUUUCUUACUAUGAAAACUUCUCAACUUUCUAGGAAGUUCAUCAACUAGUGUGGUACCAACUGUACCAUCACUUUGCCUCCAUUACCUUCUUUUGCCUGAGAAGUUUUUAUCUUUGCCUGGUGACUGAUCUGGAAAACACAGUAUCAGAGGUCGCUGAAGAGAUCAUGCUGUCUCCAUCUUCAAUGUCGUCUCUCCUGGCAAGCUCUUUCUUCUUUGCCUACAACAG